rnacentral:lncRNA from 1 species
UUUUUCCUUUGUAUGAGCGGGUUGUAUAACUAUGCUCAGAUUUCUUGAAUGCAUAUAUAUAUUAUAUAUUCUGUUGCAUUAAGAUGAUGGUAUUAUAUGCCUGGAAUAUUUCUGUAUGGCUUGAGAUGCAUUGACUGCAUAAGCAUGCAUCCUAGACACUAUCCCUUAGAGAAUGUAUCUUAUAUAUACUUGUACUGUAUAUUGUUUUUUUACUUAUGGAUUGAUUCAGAGUGCCUGAUUAUAUGGAUGGUGCUCAUACCUGGACUGUUUAUCUUUGAUCUGUUUUCUUAUGUCUGCAUAGGUAUUCUCUUUAUUUUUUACUUAUGUUUUUCAUUUAUUUUUUAAAUUUUUGGCUAAUUUUUGUUUCUAUUUUCACACAUCUUUAAUAUUGUGUUAGUAUGUGGUUUGUUUCAGAUUCUUCUUUAUAACAGGGGCUGGUAUCAUACACUCUGGUUAUGUUCCUGUUUUCCUCUGGAGCUAUAUGUGUCUCUCUGAUCCCUUUUAUUUUUGGGCUAUGCAGUAUAUUAUCUGGUUAGUGUUUCUGACAUCAGUGGUUGGCGCAUGCACCAAUCACUGAUUAUCCUACAAAUUUCUGCAUUUUGGAAUGCACGUGCGUUCCACCUUAUGCUGCUUGCUUCCGGGGUUUAGCGUCGGGAGGUGCAUUGGUGGUUGGCGCAUGUUGAGCGUUCAUAGCUCUUUGUGUUGGAACGCAUUUGCAUUCCACUUCGCCCAGUCUAUUUCCGGGUUCAGGGAUUUGCAGCGCUCUAUGCAGCGUGCGCCUCCAUCAUAUCUUGAAUUUAUUUAUCACCAAGCUUAGAUUCUCGAUCGGGUCCCUGUAUUUGUGGUAUUUAUAUACUUAACUGCACUCUAUUUAUUUCAAUUUUUUCCAACUUACUAUACAGUUUGGGAUACUAUACAGUUUGGGACACUGUUGAUAUAUACAUACUAAUACUGUUUUAAAAUUAAAUAAUUAAAUUCCUGUCGGUAUCAUUCCAAUAUGUUUCUUUUUGUUUGUCUAUAAUAUGGGUAAUGCAUGUUUCAAAUUGGAUCAUGUUGAUUAUAUUUGCUAUAUCAGUCUGUAUACUGGAACCUGCAUGUUAUGUGUAUGUUUACAUGUCUAUGUCUUUGGUUUCCUUGGUAACCAUAAACAGGUGUUUAUGGUUGGGAGGAUCCCAAUCAUCAUGGGUGGCCACCCAUUUACUUCAGGUGUUUCUAAUGUUUGUAUUUCUUUUUGGGUAUAUAAGAACAGGUUUUAGUCUCUCUCAACAAGCUCCCUUGAUAAAGGCAUUUUUUCCGAAACGUUGGGGGUGUUUUGGUGAUUGACUCUGUCCCUGCUUCUCACUGGUUCUGGUAUGCUUUAAUUAUUUUUUUUUUCUAUAUGUAUUUAUAUUUGUGGGGUUAGAGUGGAUUGGUAUCUCCUCCAAAUACCUAUGUUAUAGAUUUUGCUGUUCAUAUAUUACGCAUUUGGCGUUUGCAUAUACAUCCAGAAUUGCUCUAGCUGUUGCUUAUAAUAUGAUAUGAUUCUACAUUCUGGUUUUUCAUGUAAUGAGAUACUCUAUUAGUGUGUUCCCACUUAAUAAAGAUACUUUUUUUUGUAUAUAAA